ensembl:lncRNA
AAAAACCCAAACAAAACCUUAAUACAGCAGCACAGAAGUUGGUAUCCUGAGAAACAACAAUAAUAAUAAUAUGAAGUAAUCACUGAUUAAAUUUGGGAAAAAUAUAAUCCAGGGACGUGUGAUGUUUAUUAAUCAGUCAAACCUGGAAAAAAAUAACUUGGCUACAGUAGAUAGAAAUGAGGAUAAGGAGUUUAUUUUAAACUAACAUAUGGCACAGAAAUAUAUUAGUCACCAUUAGAAUCCUGUACAAACGUAUACAGAUGUUGUAGAGGCUUUUAUUAUACCAGACUUUAAUAUAAAGAAGGCAAAAGGAUCAAUGAUGGACUUUCAGUAUACACAGGAAAAUGGUUGCAAUAUUAUUAACUGUCCAGUGGGUUGAAGACACGAGACCAUUAAGAUCAGUAAUUUGUUCAGAUUCCAGUUCAUCGUUAGUAAGUUUACAAUGCAACCAUGCAGAAAGUCGACCAGAAAUCUUAAUAGAAACUCAACAAACACCAUGCAGAGUAAACAUAACAGGACUAAUGAUUAACUUUUGUAUGGCCACCAGCAUAUUAUAGUGUUAAGGGAAAUGAAAUGGCAGAUAAGGCUGCAAAAAAGAGCCACUGGAAAAAGAUUAGUGCAAUUAAUUAUCAGCUGUAGUAAAACAGAAAUAAAAAAAUCAAUUAGAACAGAAAAUAAAGGAGAGAUUGCAAAAAUAAUGGGAGAAAGAAAGGAAAGGACGGUGGUUUUAUAAAAUCCAAAGGAAAACUGGAGAAAUGAGAAACAAUCAUUUCACGUCUCAGAUUUGGGCACGCUGGGAUAAACGGAACACUUUUCAUUUUAGGGAAACAUUGCACCGGAAUAUGCGAGCGCUGUGCUGAGACAGUAGCUCAUGUUAUAUUACACUGACAGGAGUGUGAGGAAGAAAGAGAAGACAACUGAUUCAAAACCUAAAUACAAUCAAACUCAAACUAGAUUUAAUUGGAUUUGCUUAGAAAUAACUGAAGUACUAAAAGCUAUCGAGCAAUAUUUAACUAGCAUGAUAGGAUCUAAUCCUUAAGUGACAGUCUGGUCUGCUCUCCAUACCAGUUGGUGGCGGUAAUGCACGAAGUCGUUGUUUGUCAACCGCCAAUAAACACCAAGAAGAAGAAGAAGAAGAAGAAGAAGAAGGCGCUAACUUGAGCUCCGGUUGGUGGCGCUAAUAUACCAUAACCACACUGAUGACGACGACGAAGAAGAAAAUAAUGGAGCGCUCUCUCUUGAUUUCAACAUCGUUUUUGUUUUGUUUUUUAUUUCUAUUUCAUCUAUUCAUAAAUAACAGAUAUCAGUGGUUUUUAUUAUAAUUUUGUCGUGUCAUGUACACGAAGGGGAGCGAAAAACGGAGGCUGGGCAGAUGCUCCACGAAGAAACACGAAGAAACAGGUAACAGGUAAACCUCAGUGGCUGCUGCUCAAUGUUCGACAGGGAGCUGUGACACUGACUGUGUAUAUUUUAGUGUUUCUCGGUGGAAGAAGUUCCGGUUAGAAAGGGAAGGAAAGGUUUUUAAUAUGUAUAUGUAUAUAUAUGUAAGGCGCUAACUUGAGCUGGGGGGCAGGUAGGGCACUAACAGGAAAAAGAGGACUUCAUCUACGGGGGCCAAAGACUGCUACCGCAGUUCAAGGGAAGAUCAACAGUGGACAACAACAGUUACUUCAAGGCAUUUAAUAAUGUAAGGUAACCCCUUACAAAAUUAGAGAUGGGAAACAGUGGGAAAGAAGAAUUCCCUUUUUACAGGAAGAAUCCUCCAGCAGAAGCUCGGGGAGGGAUACAUAACAUUACAACAUCAGGACAAAAUUCAGUUUCAAAUGAGAUUGGCUCAAGUUCAGCUCACCAAAAGCCGGAAGCGAUUUAAUAAGGCACACACUAAAUGGGAGUGGUGAGUGACUGGAUCUGUUAUGGCAGUGCCAUUUAGAAGAAACCUCUCCUCGCUGCAGCCGUGUUGGUAAUAUCAGAUAGAAAAAUAAAUAAAUAAAAGCUCCUUAAAUGCAUGGUGACUUUUCUUUCCCCUGAAAGUUUUACUUCUAUCUUUGCUGUUGUGAAAUCCUCCUGUAAAUUCAGGCUGCCAUGUCUGCUCCUUAUGUCUCUUUUAAGCCUUUUGUGGAUCCGGAUGUUCUCUUUAUUGAGGAAUCCACAAACAAAGCUGAGCAACCUGUUUAUUUAAAAAGGCCCAUGCUGUGUGUGAAAUGUGUGCAACUUUGUCUUUGUGUCUCUUGCUAAAUGUUCGUGAUUGUUAUUUAAACACUCCCUCUCCUCUUCCUCUGUUCACCACAGGGCAGACAGAUAGACAACCACACACUUUCACAACUUACUUAAAGACUAAUUUAUUAUUUUGUUUUGUUUUUUUCAUUUCCAAUACCCAGUUUCCUGGGAAAAUAUUAUAUUUUCAACUGUGAAUCACCAGAUUUGUUGUAUUUCUGUUCUGUGUACCAACACUGUUUGUUAUUCAUUUGUUACUCCUCUGUUCUCUGUUUUCUUGUCUCCCAUCUCUAAUCUGUUGCUCUAACAUUUUUGUUCACUGCAUCUUUCAUUUCUCUCAAACACACACGUAUCUAUCCUUUCCAUUCCAGGUUAUUGGCUGUACUUGUCCUGCUGAUUUAACUAUAGUAAAACUCUGUUAUCUGUAAAUCUGGUGGGAUUUUGUCUUUCACUGCAUGUUGAAAAGGGGAUUUUAAAGGUUGACAUCUCAAUAUAAGCUGGACAUGUCUGACAGCCUGGUCGUACUUCUUUUCCUCAAAUUUGACUGAGAGGCAGGCUGGAUCACUUUGAGCGGCAGGAGAAGGAGAAGGGGAGGCAUCAAGCCAGUGAGAGAGUGGUGACCUUCUGUCACAGAGCUGAGGCCCGAUAAUCUCACAUCAAAGUCUCAGCUCAGACUUGACUGCAAUGGGCCCUAACUCCCUGAGUCUGUAUAAAAGAAACGUCUUCAAUUAGAAGACAUAGCGCUUUCUUUUCAGAUGAAACUUUUGAAAUGGAGCUAGUGCACCGAGCCAGUCGAGACAUAGUCGUCUAAGCUCAUUACAGCCACCUGGGGAGUUGGAGCUUUGGGCAAAAUUAAGUUUAUUCAGAUAUACCCUGGUGUAUGUGGAUAAACUUUUAUCUUGAUGACACAUAAAAGUUUGUGCAACCAUAAACUUCCUUUUUGAGUCUGCCCAUGCUUCAGACACAGCAGGAUAAGAUUGCAUCAGAACUGGCCAUAAAGAAAAACCCCCACAAAAAACAGGUUUUGCAGGCUUUAGCUGACAUCAGUGACCUUUAAAUGCUUGCUUUUUGCCAGUGCAGGAAGCGUUCGGGUCAUUUAAAGCACUGUAACGCAUUGCAAGUGAGGCAGUGCAUUGAAAGUAUUCUGCAAAGUCAUAAUACUCUGCGUGAAUAGCAGCUCCUAUACAUAUUCUGUAUUUAUUGGAUUCAUAUUUAUGAUUAUUUUCAAAUUGUUAUUGAACUAUCUGCCAUAUUUUAGACUCUUAUUACAUUUCCUAAAUAAAUGUGGUGUAAAAACA